rnacentral:piRNA from 1 species
UAACUGGGGUUUAUAUUCUAUUCCUGGAGC